rnacentral:rRNA from 1 species
AACGAACGCUGGCGGCAUGCCUAACACAUGCAAGUCGAACGAGACCUUCGGGUCUAGUGGCGCACGGGUGCGUAACGCGUGGGAACCUGCCCUUAGGUUCGGAAUAACUCCCCGAAAGGGGUGCUAAUACCGGAUAAUGUCUUCGGACCAAAGAUUUAUCGCCUUUGGAUGGGCCCGCGUUGGAUUAGCUAGUUGGUAGGGUAAAAGCCUACCAAGGCGACGAUCCAUAGCUGGUCUGAGAGGAUGAUCAGCCACACUGGGACUGAGACACGGCCCAGACUCCUACGGGAGGCAGCAGUGGGGAAUAUUGGACAAUGGGCGAAAGCCUGAUCCGGCAAUGCCGCGUGAGGGAUGAAGGCCUGAGGGUUGUAAAGCUCUUUUACCCGGGAUGAUAAUGACAGUACCGGGAGAAUAAGCUCCGGCUAACGCCG